AGUUGGAAUCAAGCAUAUUUUCGAGAAAUUGCAUAGCUAAAAAGAAAGACCCUCGUAGCGGGUGAGAUAUAUGUAGACUGCGAGAAAAAACACCCGAGUGUGUGAGAGACAGAGAGCCGAGAAAUCCGCCGCCGAAGAGAUCGCGUUGUGCGUGUUCACAAACCGGUUUCUUAAGCUACACUGAUUCAUAACCGGCUCGUCGAGCCGGCUCUGGCUUGUGGUAGAUUAGAUACUACGUUCGCUCGCAGGUUCAACGGUCGGAGGGGUCUUACGAUGGCGUUUUGUUGGUUUUGAAAAUUAAUUUAGAGUUUAUCAAAAAAUAAUUUCCUUCUUUAAUAGCGAGAUUUUGUGUUUCAAUUUUGAUGAAACUUUCAGUGUUGAUUUAUGCAUAUACAGGAUGGAUUUUGGCCCAAUAUCACCUUCCUAGUGUAACGGAAAGUGUGAUAAAACGGGUAUGGAAACUACCAAUAAUACCGCCAGGCUCAUGGUGUUUGACAUGAAUUUUUGGAAUGGCUGCAAUCCAUCAAAACACCAUCACCAUGGUCCAGUAGAUACUAUCUAGUCUUACCAAGUACGCUAACCAACAUUAUUCUUGGGUUCAAAAGUACGAAGCCGCUGAACUUUUACCAUACCACAUUAUCACUGAAGGAUAUUUGAGUUAAAAAGUUGGUCAACAUAAGAUACCUGACAAUUCUCCCUGCGACAUCACAGUUAUCUAAACUUUGGAGCAAAUUAUCAAGCGAUAAUAAUAUGGCGAUGUGCAGCCACGUUUGACAAACCGGGCGGCGACGGUUUCUCUGCAAGUUCCGCGAGAGUACAUCACGGAGAGACGCUGGCUUAAACGUUACCCUAAGCCUGAGGCGAUCGUGUUUUCAACCGGUUCGCAAAGCGCGCAACUAGCGGUUCGAGAUCUACAUACCUACGGAGCGAGAGAGAGAACGUGCUGACUCUGCGGAGAGAUUUGGUUCUGAGCGCGCGCAAGAGAAAUCUGAAGAUAAUAUGCUAAUGAGCUGCUUGGUGGUAGCAUUUUAAUAAAUCCGUAGACAGACAUGCGUACAGUUGGACACAUGCUUUUUUUCUUCUUAUUUUGUUUCGGAGAAUGUGUCCGGAGUUCAAAUAGGAGUGCACUGCUAACGGAGAGAAAUCGCGCACAGAAAGCCGGUCACCGUGUUUCACUGCUUUUGCGCACACGUUUUACCUAUUUCGCGAUCGUGUGGUGUGCGGUAACAAUACAUGCCAUUAGCCGGUACGGUUUCAGAUGAAGCGCGAUCGGGCCACCGACAGAAAAAAUAAAACAGCGCCAGGCUGCAAUUAUUUCUAACCGAGAGUGCAGAUUUUCGGUAACGAUGAGCAAUAAUAGGCUGUUACGUAUUUGGCGGUAAGUGAAAUUUGGGAGUUUCGGUGUCGAA